AGAGUUUGAUCAUGGCUCAGAUUGAACGCUGGCGGAAUGCUUUACACAUGCAAGUCGAGCGGCAGCACGGGGCAACCUGGUGGCGAGCGGCGAACGGGUGAGUAAUAUAUCGGAACGUAUCCUGAGAUGGGGGAUAGCCCGGCGAAAGCCGGAUUAAUACCGCAUACGAUCGAGAGAUGAAAGUGGGGGACCGCAAGGCCUCACGUCUUGGGAGCGGCCGAUAUCAGAUUAGCUUGUUGGUGAGGUAAAGGCUCACCAAGGCUCCGAUCUGUAGCUGGUCUGAGAGGAUGAUCAGCCACACUGGAACUGAGACACGGUCCAGACUCCUACGGGAGGCAGCAGUGGGGAAUUUUGGACAAUGGGGGCAACCCUGAUCCAGCCAUUCCGCGUGAGUGAAGAAGGCCUUCGGGUUGUAAAGCUCUUUUGUUCGGGAAGAAACGGUUUCACCUAAUACGUGAGACUACUGACGGUACCGGAAGAAUAAGGACCGGCUAACUACGUGCCAGCAGCCGCGGUAAUACGUAGGGUCCAAGCGUUAAUCGGAAUUACUGGGCGUAAAGCGUGCGCAGGCGGUUGUGUAAGCCAGAUGUGAAAUCCCCGGGCUUAACCUGGGAAUGGCAUUUUGGGACUGCACGGCUAGAGUACGGCA
rnacentral:rRNA from 1 species